UUAUUGGAUCUUUGGUGAUUUUAGCUGUAUGCUGAUACGUUUCUGAUUGCAUAUAGCUUUAUCACCAAAAACCUAAUGAAUG
rnacentral:pre_miRNA from 1 species